rnacentral:lncRNA from 1 species
AUGAAGAUGCUUACACAUUUAGAAAAAGGCAAGGUUAGUAUUCCUGAUCUGUUGAAUGCCCUGGCUAACGUGAAUAUCAAUAUACCGAAGGAAACCUUGGAUAGAAUCUUUGAAUCUUGUCCCACUGAUGAGAAUGGAGAUAUAUGGCUGAAAGAUUUCAUUAACGGUUUAACUCAGACUCAACAGUUUGCUGAUUCCAUAGGUAAGUAAAGACUGCAGUUUGAAGAAAAAUUAUUGGAUAAGUUCACCAUGAAAUGUCCACUUAAAAAGAGUCAGUGUAUUAUCCCAAUUGUGUACUUUUUCAUCUUUUUGGGUGGAUAUCAAACAAGCCUUCAUGACAGAGGUAACAUUUCAGCUGAUCCCUGAAGUAUGGUCAUGAUUUUGACCAGGGGAAGGAAUUUCAGAGUUAGCAGCAUCAGCAAAUGUUGAUAACAGGGAUAAAAGUUUAGAAUUGUUUUGGGAAUCUCCCAUUUAACCCAAGUCACAGAAGAACAGAUAACCUAACACAGGAGCUUGGAAUCAUAACUAUAUUCCAAAGAGAACAAUAUAUAAGUUAUACUUUGAAACCCAGAAAACAACUUCCUAAGUGUUCUCUCCAAAGAUUUCCCUAACAUGGGGUGAGGAAGUCUUAAACAGAGUUUGAAAAAACUGUACUUGUUUUUUCUAGCUUUCAUUGAAUUUUUCAUGGCAAGGCAAUAGAACUACCUUUUUUGUUUGUUUUGUUUUGUUUUGUUUUUUAAAACCCUUACCUUCUGUCUUAGAAUAGAUGUUAAAUUGGUUUCAAGGCAGAAGAGUGGUAAGCACUAAGCAAUUGAGGUUGUGACUUACACAGGGCCACACAGCUAAGGAAAUAUCUGAGGUCAAAUUUGAACCUAGAGCCUCUUGGUUUUAAAUCUGGCUCUCUAUCCACAUCUGCCCCAUAAACUACUUUAGAAAAAAUUUUUUUAAAUUUCAAACAUUGUUCCUUGGUUAUAAAAAUAAUUUUCUUUUCCUCCUUCCCCUUUUCCCGCCCCUCCUGUAGCCCUAAAACUACUUUUUGAAGUGAAUUUAUAUGGAUUAUAAAUAUUUUUAGUCUUGUGAGAAAAAAAGCCCCCAGAUAUCAUUAGAAAG